AUGAGAAGCUUCGACUAAGGUUCGAUUCGAGCGCAGCGAGAAAGCGUUGCCGUAGGCAACGACCCGAAGGGCGAAGCGCGCAGCGCUGAGUAAUCCUUCCCCCGUCAUCC
rnacentral:sRNA from 1 species